CGUGCUGGGGGAGCAGGGUAGCAUCGGGUCCACAGGCUGGGGUGGAGGCCUUCCCAACUCAGACUGCGCGUCCUCCUCUUCGCCGCGUCAUCGCCCUGGCCAGCUGAGCACCAACCCGACGGCUCCGGCAUCCGAUGCCAACACAACGAGGUUAUACUCCAAUCAAACAUGUGAAUAUUUACCAGAGUGCUUCAAGAUCGAUCUGAUGAUCCACUACCGCUCUGCUGUUGGGACUAAUUUGGAUGGGAAUGGUGAUUUGAUGGUUGAUUAUGAUUACUUGGUUCUUGCUCUUGGAGUUACUGUGAAUACAUUCAACACUCCUGGUGUGAUGGAGCAUUGCCACUUUCUGAAGGUAGUGGAGGAUGCCCAAAAGAUUCGGAAGAGCGUGAUAGACUGCUUUGAAAAGGCGUCACUUCCUAAC